UGUUACCAUUUUCGUUAAUGUUGUAAACUUUGCUAAAAUUAAAAUUUGAAUUAUUUUUCAAUUUGUUAUUUCUUUAGAUAUAAUAAAAAUGAAGGUGCUUUUCAUUUGCCUGGUUGCUUUAGUCUUCAUAAACUACGGUGAGGCUUUGUGGUGUUAUGCAUGUGUUGGAAAAGGCUGUUCCGUUAGACGAGAGGAAUGUGGCUCUCUUUUGCAAAAUCCUGUUUGUGCCACCGUCGAUGCUCCCACCAUUUAUAUGAAAGGAUGCAUGAGUGAGUACAUCUGUAGGCAGCAACAGCAGGCUCCUGGUACCACUGCUGUCUGCUGCAGUUACAACUACUGCAACUAAUAAGAAGGACAUCAGCCUCUUUGUGAUCAUCGCUAGCCAAGAAUAUAAAUAAUUUACAGGAAUUAUUUAUAUUUCAGACAUGUGAUGUAUUAAUUGGAUUGUUAUGCUAAAUCAUGAGAAUUAAAUAAAAUAAUUAGCUGCAACCGCAAAA